GAAAUGCGAUAACUAGUGUGAAUUGCAGAAUUCCGUGAAUCAUCGAGUCUUUGAACGCACAUUGCGCCCCCUGGCAUUCCGGGGGGCAUGCCUGUCCGAGCGUCAUUGCUGCCCAUCAAGCACGGCUUGUGUGUUGGGUCGUCGUCCCCUCUCCGGGGGGGGCGGGCCCCAAAGGCAGCGGCGGCACCGCGUCCGAUCCUCGAGCGUAUGGGGCUUUGUCACCCGCUCUGUAGGCCCGGCCGGCGCUUGCCGAACGCAAAUCAAUCUUUUUCCAGGUUGACCUCGGAUCAGGUAGGGAUACCCGCUGAACUUAAGC
rnacentral:misc_RNA from 1 species